rnacentral:rRNA from 1 species
CGCGUAGGCGGGCUAAUAAGUCAGUGGUGAAAUCUCUCGGCUCAACCGGGAAACUGCCAUUGAUACUGUUAGUCUUGAGUUCGGUUGAGGUAGGCGGAAUGUGUAAUGUAGCGGUGAAAUGCUUAGAUAUUACACAGAACACCAAUUGCGUAGGCAGCUUACUAGACCGACACUGACGCUGAGGCACGAAAGCGUGGGGAGCGAACAGGAUUAGAUACCCUGGUAGUCC